rnacentral:rRNA from 1 species
CCUACGGGCGGCAGCAGUCGAGAAUAAUUCACAAUGGGGGAAACCCUGAUGGUGCGACGCCGCGUGGGGGAAUGAAGGUCUUCGGAUUGUAAACCCCUGUCAUGUGGGAGCAAAUUAAAAAGAUAGUACCACAAGACGAAGAGCCGGCUAACUGUGUGCCAGCAGCCGCGGGACUACAGAGGUCUCAAGCGUUGUUCGUAAUCACUGGGCGUAAAGCGUGCGGAGGCGGUUUCGUAAGUCGGGUGUGAAAGGCGAGGGCUCAACCCGCGGAUGGCACAUGAUACUGCGAGACUAGAGUAAUGGAGGGGGAACCGGAAUUCUCGGUGUAGCAGUGAAAUGCGUAGAUAUCGAGAGGAACACUCGUGGCGAAGGCGGGUUCCUGGACAUUAACUGACGCUGAGGCACGAAGGCCAGGGGAGCGAAAGGGAUUAGAUACCCGGGUAGUC